UGGGAAUUUUGGACAAUGGGCGAAAGCCUGAUCCAGCAAUGCCGCGUGUGUGAAGAAGGCCUUCGGGUUGUAAAGCACUUUUGUCCGGAAAGAAAUCCUUGGCUCUAAUACAGUCGGGGGAUGACGGUACCGGAAGAGUAAGCACCGGCUAACUACGUGCCAGCAGCCGCGGUAAUACGUAGGGUGCAAGCGUUAAUCGGAAUUACUGGGCGUAAAGCGUGCGCAGGCGGUUUUGCUAAGACCGAUGUGAAAUCCCCGGGCUCAACCUGGGAACUGCAUUGGUGACUGGCAGGCUAGAGUAUGGCAGAGGGGGGUAGAAUUCCACGUGUAGCAGUGAAAUGCGUAGAGAUGUGGAGGAAUACCGAUGGCGAAGGCAGCCCCCUGGGCCAAUACUGACGCUCAUGCACGAAAGCGUGGGGAGCAAACAGGAUUAGAUACCCUGGUAGUCCCACGCCCUAAAACGAAUGCUCAAACUAGUUGUU
rnacentral:rRNA from 1 species